rnacentral:rRNA from 1 species
GGUGGGAACGUGCCUUUAGGUUCGGAAUAGCUCCUGGAAACGGGUGGUAAUGCCGAAUGUGCCCUUCGGGGGAAAGAUUUAUCGCCUUUAGAGCGGCCCGCGUCUGAUUAGCUAGUUGGUGAGGUAACGGCUCACCAAGGCGACGAUCAGUAGCUGGUCUGAGAGGAUGACCAGCCACACUGGGACUGAGACACGGCCCAGACUCCUACGGGAGGCAGCAGUGGGGAAUCUUGCGCAAUGGGCGAAAGCCUGACGCAGCCAUGCCGCGUGAAUGAUGAAGGUCUUAGGAUUGUAAAAUUCUUUCACCGGGGACGAUAAUGACGGUACCCGGAGAAGAAGCCCCGGCUAACUUCGUGCCAGCAGCCGCGGUAAUACGAAGGGGGCUAGCGUUGCUCGGAAUUACUGGGCGUAAAGGGCGCGUAGGCGGAUCGUUAAGUCAGAGGUGAAAUCCCAGGGCUCAACCCUGGAACUGCCUUUGAUACUGGCGAUCUUGAGUAUGAGAGAGGUAUGUGGAACUCCGAGUGUAGAGGUGAAAUUCGUAGAUAUUCGGAAGAACACCAGUGGCGAAGGCGACAUACUGGCUCA